rnacentral:rRNA from 1 species
CUGGCGAAGGCUACCAUGCAGUCGAACGGCAGCACAGGAGAGCUUGCUCUCUGGGUGGCGAGUGGCGGACGGGUGAGGAAUACAUCGGAAUCUACCUUUUCGUGGGGGAUAACGUAGGGAAACUUACGCUAAUACCGCAUACGACCUUAGGGUGAAAGCGGAGGACCUUCGGGCUUCGCGCGGAUAGAUGAGCCGAUGUCGGAUUAGCUAGUUGGCGGGGUAAAGGCCCACCAAGGCGACGAUCCGUAGCUGGUCUGAGAGGAUGAUCAGCCACACUGGAACUGAGACACGGUCCAGACUCCUACGGGAGGCAGCAGUGGGGAAUAUUGGACAAUGGGCGCAAGCCUGAUCCAGCCAUGCCGCGUGGGUGAAGAAGGCCUUCGGGUUGUAAAGCCCUUUUGUUGGGAAAGAAAAGCAGUCGGUUAAUACCCGAUUGUUCUGACGGUACCCAAAGAAUAAGCACCGGCUAACUUCGUGCCAGCAGCCGCGGUAAUACGAAGGGUGCAAGCGUUACUCGGAAUUACUGGGCGUAAAGCGUGCGUAGGUGGUUGUUUAAGUCCGUUGUGAAAGCCCUGGGCUCAACCUGGGAAUUGCAGUGGAUACUGGGCAACUAGAGUGUGGUAGAGGAUGGCGGAAUUCCCGGUGUAGCAGUGAAAUGCGUAGAGAUCGGGAGGAACAUCUGUGGCGAAGGCGGCCAUCUGGACCAACACUGACACUGAGGCACGAAAGCGUGGGGAGCAAACAGGAUUAGAUACCCUGGUAGUCCACGCCCUAAACGAUGCGAACUGGAUGUUGGGUGCAACUUGGCACGCAGUAUCGAAGCUAACGCGUUAAGUUCGCCGCCUGGGGAGUACGGUCGCAAGACUGAAACUCAAAGGAAUUGACGGGGGCCCGCACAAGCGGUGGAGUAUGUGGUUAAUUCGAUGCACCCGAAGAACCUUACUGGUCUUGACUCCACGAACUUUCCAAAAUGGAUUGGUGCCUUCGGAACCGGGAACAGGGCUGCUGGCUGCCGCACUCCGGCCGGAAAUGUGGGUAAUUCCGAACGGAGCACCCUUGCCUAAUUCCACC